GUGGGGAAUAUUGGACAAUGGGCGCAAGCCUGAUCCAGCCAUGCCGCGUGAGUGAUGAAGGCCCUAGGGUUGUAAAGCUCUUUCACCGGAGAAGAUAAUGACGGUAUCCGGAGAAGAAGCCCCGGCUAACUUCGUGCCAGCAGCCGCGGUAAUACGAAGGGGGCUAGCGUUGUUCGGAAUUACUGGGCGUAAAGCGCACGUAGGCGGAUAUUUAAGUCAGGGGUGAAAUCCCGGAGCUCAACUCCGGAACUGCCUUUGAUACUGGGUAUCUCGAGUAUGGAAGAGGUGAGUGGAAUUCCGAGUGUAGAGGUGAAAUUCGUAGAUAUUCGGAGGAACACCAGUGGCGAAGGCGGCUCACUGGUCCAUUACUGACGCUGAGGUGCGAAAGCGUGGGGAGCAAACAGGAUUAGAAACCCGGGUAGUCC
rnacentral:rRNA from 1 species